UUACCAUGUAGUUCUUGGCAU
rnacentral:piRNA from 1 species